UCAGGCUGCAAUUCUGAACACGGUGCUUUGGUCAGAGAACCUGGGCAGAAGAACCUGCAGGUCUGGAUAGACUUCCCUGCAGAGGUCUGGAAGAAGUGCUGGUAGGGACCAAACUCGGGUGCAGCGCCGUGUGAACCCAGCCCUACUGCAUCCAGGUGUAGUACAGCCUGGAGAACAGGAGGCUGAGCCGUCUGCAACUGCCUGAAAGGAGGUUGGAGCAUGGAGGAUGUUCAUCUCUCCUCUCAAGCAAAAUUUUGCACAGCGUGACUUUGGAAAGCUGAAGACUUAAAACUCAUCUAACACCUACAUUAAAUCUCCAGGUACACUUCCAACACACAAGGUAACGACCAUAGAGUCACUGGUACCUCUUCCAUAGCGCUGAUGAGGUUCUGAGUGGACUUGCUGAUCUCUCCACCCGCCGCCGGCAGACCACUGCCAUGCGUGAAAAAAGCCGAUCCUGGAGCUGCGUGCCCGUUCAUGUCUACAGUGUAACUUGCUUUGACAGGGCAGCAAAGUUGGUUGUGCAGGAUGAAAUACACCACAAAGACAUAAAGACCCUGAAACAGAAGAAAAGCGUAGAUCAGAGUUUGAAGGUGGUCAUGGCAAAGUCCUACAUGAUGCCUUCCCUUCACCAGCAGUUCGUGCCUCAAAGGGCUGCAGCGCAUUUCUAUGAAAAACAAGAGAUGAUGCCACUGACCAUCAGAGACCUGGAAGUUCAUAUCCUGAGCUCAUAUCCUGAGGCCCACAUCUAAACACACAAACACACAAAACCCAACCCAAAAGAGUUAUUGAAAAUGAUUAUUUGGUUGAACCCACACGGUUGCAAAGCAAAGCCAAGAUCUGAACAAUAAUAAAACCAACUUGAGUUUCA